rnacentral:rRNA from 1 species
GACGAACGCUGGCGGCGUGCUUAACACAUGCAAGUCGAACGAUGAAGCCGGAGCUUGCUCUGGUGAAUUAGUGGCGAACGGGUGAGUAACACGUGAGUAACCUGCCCUUGACUCUGGGAUAACUGCGGGAAACUGUAGCUAAUACCGGAUACGACCCUCGGAGGCAUCUCCUGGGGGUGGAAAGAAUUCCGGUCAAGGAUGGACUCGCGGCCUAUCAGCUAGUUGGUGAGGUAAAGGCUCACCAAGGCGACGACGGGUAGCCGGCCUGAGAGGGUGACCGGCCACACUGGGACUGAGACACGGCCCAGACUCCUACGGGAGGCAGCAGUGGGGAAUAUUGCACAAUGGGCGCAAGCCUGAUGCAGCAACGCCGCGUGAGGGAUGACGGCCUUCGGGUUGUAAACCUCUUUUAGCAGGGAAGAAGCGAAAGUGACGGUACCUGCAGAAAAAGCACCGGCUAACUACGUGCCAGCAGCCGCCGUAAUAC